rnacentral:misc_RNA from 1 species
GGGGAAAGAAUAUGAUAUUCCAAAGGGUCAUAUAAUUGCCACAUCACCAGCUUUCGCUAAUCGACUUCCUCAUGUUUAUAAGGAACCAGACAGGUAUGAUCCAGACAGGUUUGCACCUGGGAGAGAUGAAGACAAGGCGGCUGGACCAUUCUCCUACAUCUCAUUCGGAGGUGGCAGGCAUGGUUGCCUCGGCGAACCCUUCGCUUAUCUACAGAUAAAGGCAAUAUGGAGUCAUUUGCUAAGAAAUUUCGAACUGGAGCUAAUAUCUCCUUUUCCUGAAAUUGAUUGGAAUGCCAUGGUUGUAGGUGUCAAAGGGAAAGUUAUGGUUAGGUACAAGAGGAGGAAGCUUUCAGUUAGUUAAUGGGAAGAACGUUGAAGUCUUUGUAAGCUUAACA